AGACCAAGAGUCGCCUUCGUGUUCGCUUCAAGUUGCGUUCUCGUUUACAUUCUCGUUGCAUGGGCUCGUGUCUUGGGCAGCCGUGGAGCUCAAAUCAGUCAACUCGGAAACGUGGCCAAGUUCGUUUUGCGGCGAUAAAUGUUGCGGCACUUUUAGCCUGGCCAAAACACACACAAGAAUUGGCAGUAAGCAAAGCCAAAGGCAACAAACCAACUGCCAACAAUCUCAACUGCCAACCAACAAAAUAAAUAUUUUAGUGUUCAGUGUCCGCGUUGAAAAGUGCGUCGAAACCAAAACCAAAACGAAAACCAAAACAACAACCCAAAUUCGAAAGGUGUGACAAAGUGAAAGAAAGGUGUGUGUGUGAGUGUGUGUGUGUGUGUUGAAACUCGAACAACAAAGAAGCGUGUGCGAGGGAGUUUGUGGCAUGUGUAAUUAAUUUUUGGCAUUUAAAUUGAACGCCAUCAACAUCCGAGCCGAGGCCUUAAAUCAAUUUGAUAAAUUUGCAUUUUUUGCGUUAAAAAUGGCAAAGAAAAUACAACAGCAGCAACAGCAACAACAAUAACAACAAAGGCAGCAGCAGAAACCUUAAACGAAUAACAAACAAUAAACUUGACAAAGCCUAUAAACAAUUUACGCCACGACGAGAGGAGAGGAGAGGAGUGGGGGCGUGGCUAAGCCCCGCGAGUGCUUUUCAAUUGUGCAAAGGGUUAAAGCGAAAUGCAAAUUCAUUUAACUCACUCGCUGACAAGUGACUAAAACAAUAAACACACAAAAUGCUUGACUAAAAUACCAACAACAACAAAAACCACAACAACAAUAACAACAACAGCAAUAAAAGUAGCUGAGUGGACGAGCGAUCAAUCGAGCAACCAUCAAGUGCAACAGCAGCAGCCACAUCAGCAUCCUCCAAAAUAACCGAGUCGAGGAGGAGGAGGAGAACCCAUAAUAAUAAAGGGAGGAAGCAAUUGAAACGAUUGGCAACACUUUUACGAGUUGCCAACUACUUUUUACAACGAAUUUUCAUUAUUGCACAAGUCAACAUAAGCUGAGCGGAAGCCCGUGGCGC